rnacentral:rRNA from 1 species
CCUACGGGAGGCAGCAGUGGGGGAUAUUGCACAAUGGGGGGAACCCUGAUGCAGCGACGCCGCGUGGGUGAAGGAGCGUUUCGGCGCGUAAAGCCCUAUCCGCAGGGAAGAAGGAGGACGGUACCUGACUAAGAAGCCCCGGCUAACUACGUGCCAGCAGCCGCGGUAAUACGUAGGGGGCAAGCGUUAUCCGGAUUUACUGGGUGUAAAGGGGGCGCAGACGGCAGCGCAAGCCAGGAGUGAAAGCCCGGGGCCCAACCCCGGGACUGCUCUUGGAACUGCGCGGCUGGAGUGCAGGAGGGGCAGGCGGAAUUCCUGGUGUAGCGGUGAAAUGCGUAGAUAUCAGGAGGAACAUCGGUGGCGAAAGCGCUUUACUGGACCAUUAUUGACGCUGAGGAACGAAAGCCAGGGGAGCAAAUGGGAUUAGAUACCCUGGUAGUC